CAAAAACAUCUAGAAAGGUGAAAAGAGAAAGUCAGUGUAACAUUGAUGUCAUGGCAGUGAAAACACCCACCUAACCUUCCCUCCCACACACCCAUCUCUGUCCUUUAGUCUCAGUGUACCUGACGGCCAGGGAGCGGUGGACGGCUGCCCUCAGCGCAGUGUCCAUUCUCAGGCACAUAGCCAUAGGAUGCCUGGGGUGGCGCUGGACCUGGUGGUCUUCUGGAUGUUUGACCUGGUGCACUACCAAGCCCAGGGGGACAUCGUGGCCAGAGCACCCCAUCGUAUUGGCAGUGGAAGUAAAUGGCACAGGCAAUGCCCUGGACAUCUUCAAGGACAUAGCAGCUGCCUUCGCCAUUCUGCAGAAGGGCAGCAUCACUGUUCUCAGCAAGAAUUGUCUGAUGAAGCCUUCAGAGCCAGACCACUCAGGAUACAUGCUCAUAGGAGUUAAGGAGGCUCGUGUGUGCCAGGUACCACCCGAAACGAGGACGGGUACGUUAUGACCCAGUCACAACUCUCUCUUUACCUGUCCAAUCCCAAACCCCCUCCUCUAGCCCUUACCACUUCUGUGUUUGCUGAUCUGAGGGAACCAGGUAGGUGUAGUAAUAAAUGGAUACCUUCCCAGUGGACUUAGCUGUCGCUUACACCUAUCCAUUUCAUUUAGAUCUGCAAACACGGAUGAGUUAGGGGCUGUCAGUUACAUAACAACUACACUGAAAUAAAAAGAUCCACAGAUAGAUUUGUUCACAAUAGCCACUACAGGUUGUGGUUUUGUGCAGGCAGAAUAGAACUUGUUCUGCAGUAGUCUGCUGGUCUGGGAGUCUAGGAGAAAGAGGAAUGUGAACCAUGCAUAGAAUUGAAACAAGGUCAGCACUGCACAGCAAUACAGAUGUACUUAUCUUGAUUUCAGGACAAAAGAACAGACAGAAAUGUUAUGCUUAAAAAGUUAAUACAGCUUGAUCACGUUCUCUUCUUGUCGUGCCAAAGGUAGAUAAACUAUUAAACCAGGGAACAAAAACUAUCAUUUUGUUGUCGAUUCUGGUCUUAUGUAGUGGCGGUCUUUGUCAUUGUUUGUAUACUAGUAGUGGCACGGUUAGCAUCAGCCAUUAUCUAUUACAAACUGGUGUGACAGGGAAGGUGUUGCAUCAUUCUAAUGGCAGUGUUCAUACACGUUGUCAGCAGCUUCAGGUUUAGUGUCACUACAUUUUAUACUAGACUGUUGGAUCAGAUGGAAUUCAAACCAUGUACAGAAUGUUGAGCCUCAGCACCGGGUCUGUGUACCGUAACUUUGUCUAUGUGCACACAUAACUCUAUGUACAGGUAACUGCCAAAAUAAAGGAAACAUAAAGUGUCUUAAUAGGGCGUUGGGCCACCACAAGCCACCAGAACAGCUUCAAUGCACCUUGGCAUAGAUUCUAUUGGAGGGAUGCGACACCAUUCUUCCAUGAGAAAUUCCAUAAUUUUGGUUUUUGUUAAUGGUGGUGGAAAACGCUGUCUCAAGCCUCGUUCACAUCACCCAUAAGCACUCCUUGCGUUGCUCCGGAUGUCAUGCUUUUCAAUGGGGAAGUCCAUAAUGGAGUGCAAACGCAAUGCCCCCUUGCAGUUGAAGGUUCCGUUGCAGGAUGGACGCUGCAAACUUUAACAUUUUUCAAACUUUGCGUCAUCUUUAGUCCAGCCAGAGUCUGUCGAAGAACAGGAAGUUGCCAGACCACAGAGAUAAUGUGGUUUUCGCUAAUGGCUUUAUGGGAUAGCUAGCAACUUCCUAUAAGUGAAUACAAUUUAAUAGCAAUGUUAAAUGAUUAUAUUAUAUGACUGUUGCCUACCGUAAACAUGCGCCACUACAGAAUCUCCCAUAAGUGUUCAAUUGGGUUGAGAAUUGAGAUCUGGUGACUGAGACACACGAACACCCUUUAAACCCCCUAUACUGCUUUGAGACCCCUCUUUCAUAGUCUCUGAGAACUCUUCUUCUAGCCAUGGUAGCCAAAAUAAUGGGCAACUGGGCAUUUUUAUACAUGACCCUAAGCAUGAUGGGAUGUUAAUUGCUUAAUUAACUCAGCAACCACACCUGUGUGGAAGCAUCUGCUUUCAAUAUACAGUGCCUUGCGAAAGUAUUCGGCCCCCUUGAACUUUGCGACCUUUUGCCACAUUUCAGGCUUCAAACAUAAAGAUAUAAAACUGUAUUUUUUUGUGAAGAAUCAACAACAAGUGGGACACAAUCAUGAAGUGGAACGAUAUUUAUUGGAUAUUUCAAACUUUUUUAACAAAUCAAAAACUGAAAAAUUGGGCGUGCAAAAUUAUUCAGCCCCUUUACUUUCAGUGCAGCAAACUCUCUCCAGAAGUUCAGUGAGGAUCUCUAAAUGAUCCAAUGUUGACCUAAAUGACUAAUGAUGAUAAAUACAAUCCACCUGUGUGUAAUCAAGUCUCCGUAUAAAUGCACCUGCACUGUGAUAGAUUUAGAGGUCCGUUAAAAGCGCAGAGAGCAUCAUGAAGAACAAGGAACACACCAGGCAGGUCCGAGAUACUGUUGUGAAGAAGUUUAAAGCCGGAUUUGGAUACAAAAAUAUUUCCCAAGCUUUAAACAUCCCAAGGAGUACUGUGCAAGCAAUAAUAUUGAAAUGGAAGGAGUAUCAGACCACUGCAAAUCUACCAAGACCUGGCCGUCCCUCUAAACUUUCAGCUCAUACAAGAUCA
rnacentral:lncRNA from 13 species